UCUUGUAUACACCUUCUCCAUGUUUUCCUAGGUCUACCAACUGGUCUCCUUCCUUCUACCUCCAAUCUCUCCAACACUCCCAGCACUGUAUCCUCCCCUGCUCUCUUUACAUGUCCAAACCAUUGGAGUCUUUCCCUUCUGAGCACUGUUUCCAGGUCCUCUACUAAAACUCCCAGCACUGUGUCCUCCCCUGCUCUCUUUACAUGUCCAAACCAUUGGAGUCUUUCCCUUCUGAGCACUGUUUCCAGGUCCUCUACUAAAACUCCCAGCACUGUGUCCUCCCCUGCUCUCUUUACAUGUCCAAACCAUCAGAGUCUUUCCCUUCUGAGCACUGUUUCCAGGUCCUCUACUAAAACUCCCAGCACUGUGUCCUCCCCUGCUCUCUUUACAUGUCCAAACCAUCGGAGUCUUUCCCUUCUGAGCACUGUUUCCAGGUCCUCUACUAAAACUCCCAGCACUGUAUCCUCCCCUGCUCUCUUUACAUGUCCAAACCAUCGGAGUCUUUCCCUUCUGAGCACUGUUUCCAGGUCCUCUACUAAAACUCCCAGCACUGUAUCCUCCCCUGCUCUCUUUACAUGUCCAAACCAUCGGAGUCUUUCCCUUCUGAGCACUGUUUCCAGGUCCUCUACUAAAACUCCCAGCACUGUGUCCUCCCCUGCUCUCUUUACAUGUCUCUGCCAAAUAUUUCCCUCUCCCUGCCUCUGUCCCUGCCAAAUCACUCUCUCCCUGCCUGUGUCCCUGCCAUAUCUCUCCCUCCCUGCCAAAUCUAGCCUCUCCUCCUUACCUAACCUACCUUACCCUACCCUAAGCU